CGCGACUGACGCUAAAGCUCGAAAGUGCGGGUAUCGAACAGGAUUAGAUACCCUGGUAGUCCGCACGGUAAACGAUGGAUGCCCGCUAUUUGUCCGCCUAAGGAUAAGUGGCCAAGCGAAAGCGUUAAGCAUCCCACCUGGGGAGUACGCCGGCAACGGUGAAACUCAAAGGAAUUGACGGGGGCCCGCACAAGCGGAGGAACAUGUGGUUUAAUUCGAUGAUACGCGAGGAACCUUACCCGGGCUUGAAUUGCUGAGGACGGCAUUGGAGACAGUGCUUCCCUUCGGGGUCUCAGUGAAGGUGCUGCAUGGUUGUCGUCAGCUCGUGCCGUGAGGUGUCGGCUUAAGUGCCAUAACGAGCGCAACCCCUCUUUUCAGUUGCCAUCAGGUAAAGCCGGGCACUCUGGAGAUACUGCCAUCGCAAGAUGGAGGAAGGUGGGGAUGACGUCAAAUCAGCACGGCCCUUACGUCCGGGGCUACACACGUGUUACAAUGGCCGGUACAGAAAGAAGGCUGCCCGCAAGGUCAGUCAAAUCCUGAAAGCCGGUCUCAGUUCGGACUGGGGUCUGCAACCCGACCCCACGAAGCUGGAUUCGCUAGU
rnacentral:rRNA from 1 species